GACUCUCACAUUCAUGCUGUGAACAGGCUAUAUAAGCACAAGUUCAAUCUAUACGAAGAGCGAACAGCCACCCGCUGGCCAGUCCUCUGCCUGCCUUUGGGAGGUGGGACCCAAGGAAGAGCUGGUACAGAUGUUUGACUCAAACUUGGAGCCAUUGGAGCAGGGACCUGUAGAAUCCCAGGUAGAGCCUGGACACCUGUCAUUAUUUCAGUCCUGCCCAGGUGAUUCUCUUGUACAGCCAUGGCUGAGGUCCACUGAUUGUGACAGAAGCUGUCCUUUAAAGAAUUGCUUUCUGACCUCCUCCUCUUUCAACCUACAACACCUGCUGAAUGAAGUGGCCUGUACUCCUUUCCUGUCCCCAUAUAGACACUGGAACUUUUUGUGUGCAGGAGAGCAGGACUGAAAAGCUUUGGCUGGAAGGUUUGUAGCAGCCUGCUUGUUGAAUUGCCAUGGAUCAACAAUUUCUCAAUGAGAAGAAGAUAGAUGAGAAGAUAAAGUAUCUGGUAACUGUAAAGCUUCAAGCAGGAACUCAAGAAGAUUUUUAGAACACCUGGUCGGAAUUUAUUUUUUUUAGGUAAGCAUCCCCUUUUACAACCAGCAUACAUAAAGCAUUAAAUUGGCUUACCCCACCCCUUCCUAACAAGAGAGAAGCUGGUUAGAUUUAUUACUCCUUUGAUACAGGUCUGGAGGGAGAGUGAAGUGGCAUGUGGAAUUCCCAUGAAGGCCUCCCUUAAAAUCUUUAGGACUCCUUUUAGAUAGAAUGUUUGUCUUCAAUUUCUAACUCAUUUUUAAGAAUCUGUCUAGAUUGAGAUUGUGAAAGAUCAUUAACAAAAAUAAAAAUAGAUAAUGUUUCUGGAUUUUUUCUGUAAUAUUUAUGUCCAAAGAAGGGAUAUCAUCAACACAAAACUUUUUAUUCUCUUAUUUUUAAAAUUGGUUUUUGUGUAACUGGCUCAUUCUCUUGCUUGGUUAAAUUUAAAAUUUAUUUUCCUUUGACAAUAAAGGCCGAGUUAAUUGUUCUGUGUCUGCCUUCAUUUUGUGUGUCCAUAACAACCCCCAAACACCAAACUGCAUUGUUCUUAUAAUAUGGAAGAUUAUAACUAACAGGUUUCAUAAUACUUUUUUUAAAGAUACAGCAUACCCGACCAAUCGAACCAAAUAACCAGUUAUUUCAAGAUUGUAUGAAUAUACUGCAGAAGGGGAGCUGAUUUCAAAUUAGUGUUUUCAAGUUCAUGGCAAAAUUUUAACACUUAUGUUAGAAGAGUAUAUUUCAUUUAAUGAUGUUGCUUACAUGACAUUGUGUUCAUAUUAUUAUCCAUGCUAGAAUAAUUUGAAAUAAAUCUCACUUUUUGAAAUGUACACUAUUCAUAUUUAUUCUGUAGCAUCCUAAGUGCUUUAAAUAUUCAUCUAUAGUAAAAAAUGUGCUUUGAAACCAAUGUAUAUAAAAGGAAAAUUUUCUAAUUUAUGAUUUUCAAUGGGCUUAGUUACUUCCCACGUACCUAAGCUGUCCUUUACUAAACAACUAUGCAAUCAGAUGAUUUACAAACAUUCUUGUAUUUCUAUUAUUCUUUAGCUUUUAAAAUAGUUCUGAAUAUUAGCUGUGGCUUACAUAAAACUUAGCCUUGUAAUAAAUGUGAUCUAUUAUUUAUGCAAGACUUUCAGUGAUAUUAUGAAACAGAAUGUUUAGAAACUUUUUACAUUCCAGGAGGGAAUGAAAUUGGUUGGAGAUACAUCCAAGCAGAGUUAAAACUAGUUCAGGAGCAAAUAAAAGCUUAGCAAGUCAAAGGAAAUUUUGGGGUACAAUUAAUUUUUACUGUCAUCUCUAGGUAUGCUAUAAAUUUGUAUUAAAAUAAUUAAGAUUAAACUGUAGGGAAACAAUCUGGAGUCUUUACAUUUCAUUCAAAAGACAAACAAAAAAUCGAAUCAAUGGAGACGAUUAUUAUUAUUUUUUUACCUAUAGCUAUAUCCAGAUAGGGAGAAAAACAACCCCACCUUAUAUAGUUAGUACACUCAAUUCAGGAACCACCAUUUUUGUGUAUUAGUCAGUUUCUCUUCUUUCCUUGUUCCCCCACAGUGCCCUGCCUGCCUUGGUCAUUUCACUGUUCAUUAGCAUCUCACCAGAAGAGGAAAGAAAAAAAAGAGGAGUUGAAAUUAAGCAAUCAACUUUGUUACUUGUUUAAAAAGGUGGCAAAGAGGUUGAGUAGAAGUUAGAAGAGUUAAAAAUAUAUUUUUAAAUUGUCAAUGUGUUUUAGCAGCCUAUGCUAGGCCUGUUAAUAUUAGAACUAAUUAGUUAGCCAAGUUACAAUGCAUCUCUACAGUAGAUAAUCAGCACUGUCACCAAGUCCACUGUCUCUGGGGUUACAGAAGGCCUGGCUGAUGUAUAUCUGGCAUUUAGAAACAGAAGUCAGAAUGAAUCUUUUUUUUUUUUUUUAAUGAAAUAAGGGGGGUUAGGUAAUGAUUUCUAUUGUGGAAAGAGCUAAAAAAUUAUGUUUGUUAAAGAUAUUUGUCAAAGGAUAAAGAUGUUUACUUAUGUACUUGUACCUGUGGCUUUUUUAAUUUACUAAAUUAAACUUCAAUUUUAAAAGAAGUAAAAGAUACAGAUAUGUCUCAGAGAAAUAGAAGAUACUGUAGGGUGGCCUGAAUUCCAUAUUCUGAAACUCAAGAAGAGCAAAGUCACAGAAUGCUGAAAAAUUCAGGAGUAGUUUGGUUUUAUCUCACCUCCAUCUUUUUUUUCCUUUUCAGAGAAAUGACAAAAGUUUGCUUCUCAAUCCCUUCUGUAAAAGCCCAAUUGGGCCGGGUUUGGUGGCUCACGCCUGUAAUCUCAGCACUUUGGGAGGCCGAGGCGGGCAGAUAACGAGGUCAGGAGACCAUCCUGGCCAACAUGGUGAAACUCCAUCUCUACUGAAAAUACAAAAAAUUAGCUGGGCGUGGUGGCGCGCGCCUGUUGUCCCAGCUACCCAGGAGACUGAAGCAGGAGAAUCGCUGGAAUCCAGGAGGCGGAGAUUGCAGUGAGCCGAGAUCUCGCCAUUGCACUCCAGCCUGGGCGACAGAGCCAAAAAAAAAAAAAAAAAAAAAAAAAAAAAAAAAAGGAAGAAGAAAGAAAAGGGAACAAAGGCUCAAAACACUGAAACUAAGAGCCAGAUGGUUAUUUCAAAUAUGCAGGACAAGAGGGAGCCCACAUAACCAUUUGGGAAAGAUCCUUUUAGGGCUCCCAGAACUGAGGAAAUCAGGUGGUACCACUUUGAGUACAGUAUUUGACAUGAAUGAGUCACUGGAGAGCCACUUUUGGUAAGUUUAGGAAUCAAAGAAAAAAGUCGCUCCGCUGCAGAUUGAUCCAUUUUUUUUUUCAGGGAUAAACAGCAGAUUAUGGCUUCGGAGUCUGGGCUGUCCUUUAUUGGAGGGCACGAUGCACCAUAGAUUUUUAUUUUCACGAAACAGACUCCAGAGGUUUGUGGCCUUCCAGACAGCAGCUGGCACCGGGCAGAGGCACAGACUACGGCCUGAGCUGCUGGCGACUGCCUCGCGCUUGGCCGUGCGUCCCUGGCUGCGCUGGCCAGCACCGCAGCCAGAGAGCUUCCCAUUCCGGGAAGGAGGGGCUGUUCCUCCUUAUAUUUGGGGGAAAGUAGCUGGUUUGAAGGAAAGGAGGGAUUAAGUUUGUAAAAGCGUUGGCUCCUCCUUAUAACUCUGGUGCCUAAUGGGGAUGAGAUGAUAGCCAAAUAAAACGAAGAGAGAUGACCCCGUUUUGAGUGAGGAGGAUUUCUGGAUAAGCCGGCGAUGUGUCCUGCAACUGUCGAUUUGGCAGAUUUGACUCAAUCAACUGCCAGUUGGUUCCCACUUCAAACACACCUCCCUCAGCCUACCGCUCUGACCAGCUCCCCAGACUCGGGGUGGGGAGCGAGCAGAACAAGAGAAUCAAAAGUCAGCCUUCUUUUGGUCUCUGCUCCUGCACAACUGGUUUGGUUCUGAGCAGGCUGAUGUUUGAGAGGAAAAGCCAGGACUGCUUGGGCUCUUUGGCGGGAUUUGAGUGUGUGUGCUGGGAGUGGGGAGGGUAGAAUGAGGUGGGAGCAGAGUUAGGCUGAGUACUGAGCGAAGCCCCUUAUUUUGCGUCCCAGCUGCCCUUCCCGUCCCCAGCGCCCAGCCCCCGCCGCGGCUGGGUGAAGAGGAGGGGGCGAGGAGGGCGCAGGGCGUGGGGGACGCCCAGCAGCGCCUCGCGCCCGCGGUGGCGGAGGGGCUGUCUCUUUAAGCGCUCCGGAGGGGCUGGGGCGGG
ensembl:lncRNA